rnacentral:lncRNA from 1 species
AAUGGCAGAUAAGGUGCAGCAGGAGGGACCAGAGGACCAGGGGACUCAGGAUUCGGAGGAUUCAGAAGCUUCCAUGUAGGAUUCAGCAACAAAAUUUAGGGGUCAAGGUCAUGGCUGAUGCCAUAACUGUCACUGAGGCCACAGAGCUCAUGGAGGUGAAGCUGAAGACAAGGAGUGGGUCUCUAUCACCAACCUGGGCCACCUGGUUAAGGAUAUAAAAAUCAAGUCCUUGGAGGAGAUCUACCUGAACUCUCAGUCCAUUAAGGAACAUUGACUUUAAAGAUGAGAUUCUGAAGAUCAUGACUGUGCCAAAGCAGACUCUGGCUGGCCAGUGGACCAGGUUCAAGGCCUUUGCCAUUAUUUGGGAUUACAAUCGUCACACCAGUUUUGGUGUUAAGUGCUUCAAGUAGGUAACCAUUGCCAUCUGAGGGGCCACA